AGGGGGUAUACUAUGGAGAGAUAUAAAGAGAUACGUCAUUUUGUAGCGGGCUGGUGUAAAUUGAAUUUUCAUGCCGCGAAGAGGAGGACUGGGACCACUCAUUUGUUUGCCCAUUUGUCCCCACGCAGCCAAUGUAUAUAAAGCCCGGCCCAAAAUGGAAUUGCUGAGCAAGUUUCAGCUCUCAAGACUCAGUGAGUCUAUAAAAUCUAAUACGCACACGAGCGAGCAGCCCGCAAGUCCCGCCCACAGGUCGGCUAGCUUUAUGUAGGAACGACUAUAUAAAAUAUAAGUGCCUAAUCAAAUCGGCGGGAGUCGGGCUUAAGAGAGCCCCAUGUGGCAAGAGCAGCGGCCUAUGGGUGGGACUGGACUGGCACUAUAUAUCUUUUCGUUCGGGCUCAGGGCUCCUCAAGUCGGGAUCGUUCUCUUAAGUUGCCCCAAAACGGGUUUCUCCUCGGGUCUCUCAGUUCCGACUCAAGAGUUGCGUAUCCGACGGAUUCGUUUUCAGUCUGUGAGUAACUUUGAGUAGCGACGAUCGAGGAGCUGGGUCUUUUGAUUUUUGCUUCGGCAUUUCGAAAGACGUGAAAAGUUCAGAAAUAUUCAAAGUACUGGAAAAGUGUGUGAAGAAAAUUGAUUAAAGAACUUAAAAGAUGGUGACUUGAAACUCCAAAGAGGUGAUCACAUGGUGAUCUGGGUUUGUGGAACAUAAUAAUGGAGAGCGAGGCCUAAGCUUGAGUUUAAAAAACGGAUUGCGAAGGCGGCGCAGAAGCAGAGGAUUCAACAGGAGGCGGCGGCGGCAGUGGCAGUGGCAGGAGGUUGCAAGUUGGCGAGUUGCAAGCUGGCCGCGGCCAGUCGCCAGAAGUUGCCGACUCACAAUGUGUGUGCCGCGCGCGGCUUUAAGAAAUGCCGAAUUCCAGAAGCUGCAGUACAAUCAGUUGAAUUAAAAAACGAGCGCACAGACAGAGGACGACGGCUGGGAUCUUCUGGGGAUAACCGAGUACAUGUGAGGGGAGGAUAAGGGGGUAUCCCCCAGUAUUCCAGGUUCCUGGGUAGUCCAUGGAGGAGGAGGAGGUGGAUCUGCGAUAUCAUCGCGUAUAGAAGAGAAGGCGCGCGCGCAGCUGCUGCUGCGGCUAGGAAAUUAAGAGGACAUUGUGGCGGCAUGCGGUUAGAACUUGCAGCGGCGGCUUAAACACAAAAUCCGCAAGAGGCACACACACACGGAUAUACAGAUGGACUGCAGCAUAAGAUUCCUUGCGUGGCUGCGUUGUUGGUGGCUUUUGGACAGCUGGACGCUGCCUGACAGAGGUCGCCCUCGUACGUAAUCGACGAGCAUUGGAAAUGCUUUUGGUUUAGCUUUUUGGUUUUGCUUUUGCGUUGGUGCCUCCUCUUGUUGUUGCCUUUGUCCUCCGCCUGGUGCUGCGCACGUGGCCAUGUUGGUGACGCGCCAGCCAGGAGCACCAGGAGUAGCAAGCAGGAGCAACAACCAAACAGCAAAUCAUUGAAAUGUCGUUAGAGGCUCGAGCGGCACGCAGCAUCGAUAGUCAGGAGAACCGCAAAAUGCUUUUAAUUUCUCAAACUGAUAUGCACCCCCGUGGCCCCUUCGAGGAAAGAAAUAAGGACUGCAGCAGAGCUACAAAAUUAGCUUCAGAAAAAGUACAAAUAGUACAGAUUGUAGGAAAAACUACAUAGUUUUCUGUAAUUUAUUCAAGCAACUUUUCAAUCUUUUCAACAGCUUGGAAGGAAAUUAAUCAAGCCAUAAAUGGGUUGCGGCAUUACACAAAAAAUAAUUAAAUUUAGAAUUGAAAUUGUCAGAGAAAAACUGUUAUGCAAACUCACUAAAAGGCAAAUAAAAUUAUUGAAUAAAUACGAAAUCAUAAAA